ACCGAAAUAGCUCAGUUGGGGGAGUGUCAGAGUACAGAUCGAAAGUUCCCUGGUGCGAUUCUGGGAUUUGGAA
rnacentral:tRNA from 1 species